UGGGGAAUAUUGGACAAUGGGCGAAAGCCUGAUCCAGCAAUGCCGCGUGAGUGAUGAAGGCCUUAGGGUUGUAAAGCUCUUUUACCAGGGAUGAUAAUGACAGUACCUGGAGAAUAAGCUCCGGCUAACUCCGUGCCAGCAGCCGCGGUAAUACGGAGGGAGCUAGCGUUGUUCGGAAUUACUGGGCGUAAAGCGUACGUAGGCGGUGACUCAAGUCAGAGGUGAAAGCCUGGAGCUCAACUCCAGAACUGCCCUUGAAACUAGGUCGCUAGAAUCACGGAGAGGUGAGUGGAAUUCCGAGUGUAGAGGUGAAAUUCGUAGAUAUUCGGAAGAACACCAGUGGCGAAGGCGGCUCACUGGACGUGUAUUGACGCUGAGGUACGAAAGCGUGGGGAGCAAACAGGAUUAGAUACCCCGUAGUCCCUGAGCGGGCUGGCAAGGCGCAU
rnacentral:rRNA from 1 species